CUUCAAUUAUGUGCCUACACUAUUCACUGCAUCUUUAAUGAAACUUGAUGACGAAUUAGAUACGUUUAACCUAUCGUUUUAACCGACUUGUUUGUAGACAAUUUUAUUUUGACAGACAUAAAAAUUGGACACACUUUCCCAAGAUAUAUUUAUGUCUUUCCAUCUCUGGACUAUUGCUCCUUAGGUGAGACUCUUUGAACCUUUCCACCAAGUUUAAAGGAACAAAAGCAAACAAAUCACAUUAUUCUUUCAGGAAUUUUUCUUGUUCAAUGCCUUUCAUUUCUCCCCCCUUUUAGGCACUUCUCUCAUUCAGAACAGAGAAGUCAAUGGUUUCUUACAUCCAGGCUUGACAAGUUAGGAGGAUACAAGCUAAUCCCCUUAAUCUGUCUAUUCUCCCAUGCAGUGCCAAAGGGGAGUGGGACCUGGCGCAAGUAAUCCUAUAGAAACACAAAAGGAUUAGUCCCCAACUCUUAGAGUGACAAUCAGGUAUCUACUGCCUGAUUUGAAAAGAUUCCAUGAGAAGAAAUGAGGAGGUCUGGAUGAAAGGCAUUUAUUCUUCAGGUCCUACACUAGCAGAUGAUUGACAGCUCCUGGGCUUCUCCCACAGCAGAGAAGAUGGAGAGGUGGAGAAGCAUGGUACAACAUAACAUGGAGGAUAGUGUUUCUCUUUGCCCAGAUGCUUCCAACUGUUUCUCGAACAUCUGCCAAGGGAAUCGCAGAGUAAUUAACACACUGAAGAGGAAUAACUGAACCCUGCUCAGAUACAUGAUUCACUUGUAGUAAAAAAGAUCCUGAAUUUUGUAAACCUUUAAAAGGGAUCCAGAGAGAUUUUUUUUUUUAAAGUAAACAUUCUACACCUGUUUAAAAUGUCAGAAAGUGGCUUAUUGUGGUGGUAUAUUUCAGAAGUGCUAAAAAUAAGUUCGCCCCUGUAUGUACUUUACAAUUAACGUAUUAUCUCUGAUGAAACACAUUGUACAAGUGAGGCCUGACAGAGGUGAGGCUAUCACUCAUUCCAAAAUAAAACAGAAGGUGCCAUGCAGAUGCAGCUCUUCAUGCUGUGAAGACUUGAAGCUAAUGUAAUUUUGUGGGAGUCGGAGAACGUCCAAAUGUGAGGAUCCAAAGGUGUGCCACAUAAUCCACAAACCCUCUCUGUGCCCGUCUCUGCCCUCCCUUAGAGCCCAUACACAGCACUCUAUAGAUUGUUAUACUGCCUCUGCACAAUCAGAUGCCAUUGGUAAAACUCAUCACAAACUUAUUUCAAUUGACUCCAAAAGACAUCAGAUCCGUUAAUAGCCUGUCAUGGAAACAAUCGAACAAACCACAUGUGUUCGAAACAUUUACCUUUUCAUACCAAUUUUAACUGAUGCACGUGACAAAAAGAUAAUGAGUAUUUAGUCUAUACCAUGAAUUCAAUA